rnacentral:rRNA from 1 species
AUGUAACUCCUGGAGGUGAGCGGCGGUAAGAGGGUGGGGCGGAGGGUGGUGCGGAAUUAGUGGGCUGAAGGGGGGGGGAGGCGGGUCGGUAAGUCGGCUGGUAAAGUCCAGUGCGCAACCCUGGGAUGCCGGUGGGUACUGGCGGGCUAGAGAGCGGAAGAGGCGAGUGGAAUUCCCGGGGUAGCGGUGAAAUGCGCAGAUAUCGGGAGGAACACCAAUUGCGAAGGCAGCUCGCUGGGACGUAACUGACGCUGAGACGCGAAAGCGUGGGGAGCAAACAGGAUUAGAUACCCUGGUAGUC